rnacentral:rRNA from 1 species
GACGAACCGUGCGAACGUUAUUCGGAAUCACUGGGCUUAAAGGGCGCGUAGGCGGGCUCGCCAGUCAGGGGUGAAAGCCCACGGCUCAACCGUGGAAGUGCCUUUGAUACUGCGAGUCUCGAGGGAGGUAGGGGCGUGCGGAACUUCCGGUGGAGCGGUGAAAUGCGUAGAUAUCGGAAGGAACACCGGUGGCGAAAGCGGCGCGCUGGACCUCUACUGACGCUGAGGAACGAAAGCUAGGGGAGCAAACAGG